rnacentral:rRNA from 1 species
UACGUAGGGUGCGAGCGUUGUCCGGAAUUACUGGGCGUAAAGCGCGCGUAGGCGGUUUGUUAAGUCGGGGGUGAAAACCUGGGGCUCAACCUCGGACGUGCGUGCGAUACUGGCAGGCUGGAGUACGGCAGGGGAGACUGGAAUUCCUGGUGUAGCGGUGAAAUGCGCAGAUAUCAGGAGGAACACCGGUGGCGAAGGCGGGUCUCUGGGCAGGAACUGACGCUGAGGCGCGAAAGCGUGGGGAGCAAACAGG